CACACACACACACACACACACACCAGGUGAUCCCAUGAAUUAAGCACAUCAGUUCUAACCAACAUUCUGACAUCUCAUCUGUGUAGAUGAUCAUCGAAAUUUGGAAAUUGUAAUCAAUUGUACUCUCCAGCAAGUACAAAUGAAAAUACGGUAUUUUACCCCCCCAGGCUAAAUCGUACAGAACAGGCCUUUUUGGUUGACAAGAGAUUUAUUUUGAAGAAUACGCAAAAAGGAGUGGGAAAUUCUGAAAUGGGAGCUUCAGCUGUGAAAUUUUGGGAAUAUUCAAAGUGGGACACUUAAAAGAAAAAUCUAAAGACAAUUAAUGGGAAUCAACAGGAAGUUGCGAUGAACAUUUAGUUUUAUUACGGGAAGACGGGCAUGAAAAUGUAAUUGUAAUAUAUGUUUUUCCAUCUAAUUCUGUCAUUGAACAACCAAAAAUAUGAAUAUUGCAUAAACUAAAUGAGUACACGUGCUAUCCCUACCCCUGCUGUAGAUUCUCAUGUAUUACUGUUACAGUGUCCUUAUUCGAAAAUUCCGAUUAUUUUGCAACCAUGAUGCAAGAAGGGAGGUGAUACUUGACUUGAAUAUUCUGACCCAAUGUGGGAAUUAUUUGACUCCAACGUUCAUUUUUGGGAUCUUUUUCCUAGAUCCAGAAAUGUUGUAUGCAUUAUAUUUUGAUUAGUAUGAAAUACAGUUUUCUGUUUUAAGGAGUCUUGUUUGACUGGAAGUGGAACCAACCGUCAGAUUUGUCAAAAGUGUUUCUGAGCUUGAUGGUGCCAUUCCAUAAUCUGCAAAAGUCUCCCCCAGUGUCCUUAAUCCAUACUACUGUAAUGACUUAAUUUCUUUCUGUCAUUUAAGUGUGCAUACGCCUUACUUCAAUGCAUUACAGUACAUCAGUCUAAAUGAAGUUCGAGUCAUCACUUUGUACUACUGCGAAAGAGAUGUUUAUUUUUUCACUGCAAACAUUGGACAUUGUACUCAGAAGCUGAAGAAAAAAUAUUCUUUUUGCUUUCGUUUGUAGAUGUGUUGUUGAAAAGAGUGACAGCAAACAUUGCAUCACUGUUAUAUUCUUCAAUAUACGGUUAUGAUACAAAUACCCAUUUUCCAUACAAAAUUGCAAAUUUCAUUCAAAUCAGUUUUUUGGGACAAUGAGGGCAAGAAAAUUUAUAAUUCAAAACAACAAAAAUUUUGAAAAAAAGCUUUGAUGUUUUCUUUUUUUUUCUUCCAUGAAAGUCCAAAUGCCAGUGAACGCUCUUGCUACAAGAUCAAUAAAAGUCCCACAACAAGGAAAA